rfam:Canis lupus familiaris chromosome 4, whole genome shotgun sequence.
CGGGGGAGGCCGGAUCCUGGGCUGUGUCCCGGCGCCCUGUGCUCCGGGGCCUGCGAUGGUGGAUUCGCGCCCCCGCCCCGCAGCCCCCU